AUUACAGAUGUCUCCCAUUCCCCCACUUUACCUCCCCCCUCUGCCCAGUCCCUCCCUACCCCCCAGGUCUUCAUCAACCUAUUGUUGUCUUUGGGUUGUGCAUAGAAGUAUACAAGUUCUUUGGUUUAUCUCUCCUUGUCCCCUGACCUGAGUCAUUUAUUUUUAAGAUGGUUUUAAAAAGUGACUUUCUAUUCUGUCAUUUCUUCUGCAAUGUUGAUAUUUUUCUGUGAAGAUGAGUACCCCCCUUUUAAAAAGUUUUAGUGUAAUUUUCUCAUUCAAUGUAAUAACCAUCUCUGUAGUUAUCAUUCUGAUGCUCAAAUUCAGCUCAAAUUUGGUUUCUGUGUCCUGUUGACAUGCCCCUGUCAGUCUCUGAGCAUUUCUUCACUUCCUGACACACAAGAUGCUUUCCGUGCAGACCUUACAUUUUCUCCAGCCCCGUGGCCUCUGUUCACAGAUCAGAUGCAUUUUCCUUUGCUGCCUGUUUUGUUUUUGGCCAAGUGGCACUAUACAUUCUCACUACUCACAGUCUGGAGAUUGUUCUCUGCUUUAUUUUUCUGCGUUGUGUUCCAUUUUAUGAAUAUAAACUAGCCUCCUUUUGAUGGUUAUUUAGUCGUAUCUUUUUUGCUUUUAUAAGCACUCCUUUAAUGUAUAAUCUUUUUGUCAUUUUUUAUAUUACUGACUAUAUUUGUAGGGUCAUUUCUAGAAGUGAGACUUCUAGAGAAUGUGCAUCCCCCAUUGUGAUAGCUAUUCCUCACUAAAGCGAUGGUGCUGAUGUAUGUUCCUGUCUAACCAUGAGGGGCGUGCCUGCUCUCCCUCUUCUUUGCCAAUCUGGUUCCAGAAACUCAUUAGAACCAGCCUGUGCAGAAAGGGGGAUGUCCCAGAACCCAAGCGCAGUUGGGCCUCACAAGGAUUACCUUUGGGACAAGGUUUCCAAGGCCCCCACCCCGUGUCGGCUACAUGGACAGCCCGUGCAGAGGCAGGCUGCAGUACCCUGUGACCUCUCCCAGGAUGCAUUCUGGCUCGGUGGCUAUGUGACCAUCAAGAAUGAAACGGGAUGACCAGAUCUGUGAAUUUGUACCCUCAUCCUUUCCCGCUUGCUACCUGUUUCUAAAGAAAGUCUUCCUCCCAGUAUAAGUGGAAGAAGAGUGAGCUUUAAAGCUAUAAAACAUGAAGUCCUGGCGUGGCCCUUAUCUAGGUUUCUAGUUAGAGUUCAUGAAGUUCUCAGGACUCGUAUAGCAAGGUGCAGAAACAAAGCUGUGGGACUCACUAAUUCUUCGAAGUGGAAUCUGGCAAAUGGUGCUUGGACAACUGGACAUUCACAUACAAAAAUUAACAGUAACAACUGCUGACAAGAUGUGGAGAAGCCAAACCCCAACUGCUGGUGGGAAUGUAAAUGGUGCAGACACUUUGGGAAACAGUCCGGCAGUUCCUCAAAAGGUUAAACACAGUUACCAUUUGACCUUGCAAUUCCACUUCAAGGUACAUACCCAAGAGAAAUGAAAACAUGCUUACUCAAAAACUUACACAUGCUUGUUUAUAGCAACAUUAUUUAUAAUAGCUGAAAAGUGGAAACAACUCAAAUGUCCAUCAACUGAUGAACGGAAAAACAAAACGUGGUAUAUCCAUACAACAGCUCUUAUUCAGCCAUAAAAUGAAGUGCUGAUCCAUGCUAUAGUACUUGAAAUAUGUACUUGAAACUUGAAAUAUGCUAAAUGAAAAAAGCCAGUCUCAAUGGAUCACAUAUUACAUGAUUCCAUUUAUAAGUACUAUCCAGAAUAGACCAGUCAUUACAGGAAGUAUAGAUUUUAGUGGUUGCUAUGGGGUGGAGGUGGGAGUGACUACGAAUGGGUGGAGGGUUUAUUUUUGGGGUGAUGAAAAUGUUCUGAAAUUAGUGAUGACUAAAGCACAACUGUGAAUAUAC